GAUGAAGAACGUAGCGAAAUGCGAUAAGUGGUGUGAAUUGCAGAAUUCCGUGAAUCAUCGAAUCUUUGAACGCACAUUGCGCCUUCUGGUAUUCCGGAAGGCAUGCCUGUUCGAUAGUCAUUAACAACCGUUUCGAUCCCUUUCUUUCAGAAAUUACAAAGAGGAAAAGGGUUUGGUUAUGGUGGAGGAGGGAAAGGGAGCGUUUAGCCUGUAAAAAAAGAGGCUGUGUUCCGCCUCCCCCCCAAAAUUGUACAGGCGGUCGUGUGCGCCCACGCAUCGAGGUGUUGUAAAAGCUGCCACGGCACUUUUCACCUGUGCAGUGCGAGAUUGGCCAGCCGGUUUAAAAACCCCUCCAAACAAUCAAAGGUUGACCUCGGAUCAGGUAGGGAUACCCGCUGAACUUAAGCAUAUCAAUAAGCGGAGGA
rnacentral:misc_RNA from 1 species